GGCUAGCCUGAAGGGACUCCUCAUGUCCAACUCAGGAAGUAAAAUAUCAAAAUAAAUAAUGCUACCAAUGGAUCACAAGCCAUUGCCUAUAAGAAGAAACCUUGUGCCUAUACUACUAAUAAACAAAUGAAUGAAUAAAUUGGGCAGAAUAGAAAAUUCACAUUAUUUUCUGAAGGAUCUUUUAUUUUUAAGAGAUUUAUUUAUUUACUUGAAAGUCAGAGUUACACAGAGAGAGAAGGAGAGGCAGAGAGAGAGGUCUUUCUGCUUCCCAGGCCAUAGUAGAGAGCUGGAUUGGAAGUGGAGCAGCCAGGUCUUGAACCAGCAUCCGUGUGGAUGGCUUUUCCCGAUACACGACAGUGCCAGCCCCUGAAGGAUCUUGUAACAGUUUAAUACUACUGCUUGUAAUAGGUUAGAGUGCCUGUUUUGCUAUAUAUUUGACAAUGGUGAAUACUAUAAUUUUGUUUUUGUCCUUUAGUGCAUUGUUUGAUUACUAUUAUAAACUGAACAUUUUUUAUCCAAAUAUACAGGAUACUUCAAAAAGUUCACAGAAAAGUGGAAUAGAUAAAAAUAAAAAAAUUAAUUACAGCCCAUCAGUUAUUUUGGGAGAGUUCCACCAUUGAAAAAUCUUUUCAAUUUCCAUCCGGCAAAUGAAGAAUGAAAAUUGCCUAGAAAACAUACUUGCCAGUGCAGUAUAUUCAAAGAACACUUUAAGAAGAACACAUCC